CUUCAAGAUAAGGUCUCCACAGGGCACCUCGGUGUCCUGGUAGGCCCCCAGCAGACUACUGGGUUGAUAGGCCAGGAGUGGAAGACCGGCAACGGUCUGCAGAGCUGACUGGUACUAAUAGGCCAACACAAACAACAACA
rnacentral:rRNA from 1 species